GGAUAGCUCAGUUUGGUUAGAGUGUGGUGCUGUUAAUGCCAGGGUUGCAGGUCCAAUGCCCGUAUGAGGCA